rnacentral:rRNA from 1 species
UACGUAGGGACCAAGCGUUGUUCGGAUUUACUGGGCGUAAAGGGCGCGUAGGCGGCAUGACAAGUCACUUGUGAAAUCUCCGGGCUUAACUCGGAACGGUCAAGUGAUACUGUCGCGCUAGAGUGCGGAAGGGGCAAUCAGAAUUCUUGGUGUAGCGGUGAAAUGCGUAGAUAUCAAGAGGAAUACCUGAGGUGAAGACGGGUUGCUAGGCCGACACUGACGCUGAAGCGCGAAAGCAUGGGGAGCGAACAGG